rnacentral:rRNA from 1 species
UGGGGAAUAUUGGACAAUGGGCGCAAGCCUGAUCCAGCAAUGCCGCGUGUGUGAAGAAGGUUUUCGGAUUGUAAAGCACUUUCAGCGGGGACGAUGAUGACGGUACCCGCAGAAGAAGCCCCGGCUAACUUCGUG